GCUGUCUGGCCCAGGAGGCUGGGAGACUGGUUUUGCGGGGCACACUUGACACCUGGUGAGCCCUAGCCGCCAGGCAGCUGCCACAGUGACUGCUGCUCUUGGGUAAGUACGAACUCCAAGAGGGACAACCAGAGUCCAGGAACACUUCCCGCCUGCCCUCCCCGCGGCGGCGCCCCUCCCAACCACAUCACCGAGAGCGAGCCACUUAUUAACUCCUUUCAGACACGGAAACUGCAGCUGGGAGGGAGGAAGUGACUGGUCCGAGGUCUCAGAGUAGAGAAAUGGACUAAGUUCUGAUUCCGAGGCUGGGGCUGCUGCUUCAAGGCGGGAGAGAUACAUAGUCCUCCUGAGCAUCGGGAGCAAGGAGGGGUGGAGAGUGAGGGGAGGCAGAAAGAAAGAAGAGAGUGUGGGUGAUAAUGGUGAGAACGACCGAGGAGAGAGGGUAAGAGAAUCAGCACCACGGAGGCAGAGAAAACAGGCGCCGCGAGCAAGAGAGCUGGGGACAGCGGGAGGGACUGGGAGAGGAAGGUAGACAGAGAAACGCGACAGAGACCGGGAGAUGGAGAGACACACGGGGAGGCGGGCAGAGACGGACCGACGGAACUGCCCGAGCUAGUGACAGUGCGGGGGGAGCGCGCGGCGGGCGCGGGCGGGCGGCGGGCGGGGGAGGAGAGGCCAGGAUGCGGCGCCGCGCGGGCCCCCGCCCCCGCCCCCGCCCGGGCCGCACGCGCCCGCAGCCGGAUGACCGCCGCCCCGCCCGCGACGCCGGCCCGUGCGGACCCGAGGCGGCCGGCAGCUGGCGGCGCGGGCCGGGCCGGGGAGUCCCGAGCCCCGCAGCGACGGCGGCAGUGCCCCGGCUCGGCUGGCCCUGAUUGAUUUGUCAGCCGAAGGGAUCCGCGCGACGGGUCCUCGGCUUCCCCAAGCGCGAGGCCUCCCUUCCGCGCCUCGCCUGGCUCCCGGGCCGGUCCCGCAGGCUGGAGCUCCCCGCCCCCCGCCCCGGGCCCCGGCGCCCCUCCUCGGCCCCGCUCUCCGCGCCCCUCCUCCGGCUCGGCCGUGUUCGCCCGCGGGCCCUGGGGCUGCCCGCUGCCCCCUCGCCCCCCCUGGGCACCGUGCCAGCACCCCCAGCCCUCACCCUGCUGCUCCCCCCCAGCCCCGCGCCCCCGCCCCUCGCCCCUCGGCCCUGGCCCGGGGCCGCCCGCCGAGCCGGCCACACCCGCGGCGGAGGACUCGGAAAGGUUGGAGAGAGACCGGGAAGAGAGAGUGGGAACUACACGCCGGGCCAUUAAUUGGGCCGUAGCUCGCUUGGAGCCAGGGUAAGCUGACUGGCCGCCCUCCCCGGGAGCCAUAGCUCCCGCCGGUUCCUGCCGCUCUGGCUCAGCCGGGUCCGCAGGAGGCCUGCACGGCAGCCCGCAGCCUCGCAGCGCGAAGCCCAGGCGGAAGACAGGACUCGGCGGGAAGCGGCCGAAGGCUCCCCGAGCUCUGCUUCAGGCCGGCCUUCCCAGGCUUCCCCAGCCGGUGCCCGAGGGGCGGCUCCGGGCCGAGGGAUUACCCGAGGGAGCCCUUCCUCAAGCAUCUUCUGGCGGCUGCGCCUUCUUAGGAUGGAGACGGCGGGGAGAGAAGGUUUAGUUUUCCUUCCCGAAGAAAAUCGCAGCAAACUGUUUGUAGCUUAAAACUCCAAACCCCGCGCUCCCCCUCCUCCCUCGCUGGCUCCCGCCCCCGCCCCCCAGCCUCGCCCACCAGCUCCCACCAUCUCGUCGCUCCUCUCCUCCUCUUGCGGUUCCCCUCCCUCUCGGGUCUCCCGCCUUCCCAGAGCACGCGCUGCCGGGG
rnacentral:lncRNA from 1 species